rnacentral:rRNA from 1 species
UACGUAGGGUGCGAGCGUUGUCCGGAAUUAUUGGGCGUAAAGAGCUUGUAGGCGGUUUGUCGCGUCUGCCGUGAAAUUUCGAGGCUCAACCUCGAACUUGCGGUGGGUACGGGCGGGCUAGAGUUCGGUAGGGGAGACUGGAAUUCCUGGUGUAGCGGUGAAAUGCGCAGAUAUCAGGAGGAACACCGGUGGCGAAGGCGGGUCUCUGGGCCGGUACCGACGCUGAGGAGCGAAAGCGUGGGGAGCGAACAGG